AUUUUAGUCAAUCAAAAUUUGAAGCAGUGGUGGCCAUCAGCAAGUUUGAGAUUAUUUUUAUCAAACGGUCAGCAAGAUAAGACUAAACUGCUGUCCAGAGACUUCUCUAGCAAGAAGGAAGAUUUGGAAAGUAGAUUGCUAUCUUUUUCCUUCAUAUAAAGGACCCUCAUUAGUCAUUAGUUGAAUGCAAGUGAUGUUUCUUCUCUAGCAGCCAGCAAUUAAGCCAAGGUUAACAAAGACAAUCUUCUUCAAAUAUGAUUUGUUCAGUGACUGCUUCUACCUAUAUAUAUAAGCAAGAUAACUUUAUUUGCAUGCUUUAGAGAUCAGGGGCGUAUCUGAGGGGGGGCCUACAGGGGCCUGGCCCCCCCCCCAUCAAUUGUUGUAGAUAAUAAUAUUCAUUGUUUGUUUUAUUACCUACCACCUAGUAAUAUAAAUUAACCACCUUGUAAUCAUGUACAAUACAUUGCACAGCAGUAAAUGUACAAGAAAUGAGAAGUAGAGAGAAACAAAACACUCAUUUUACAUUAAUCAUUGUUGAAAAUUGCACUAUACGAACG